UACGGAGGAUGCGAGCGUUAUCCGGAUUUAUUGGGUUUAAAGGGUGCGCAGGCGGUCUGUUAAGUCAGCGGUCAAAGCCCGGGGCUCAACCCCGGCCCGCCGUUGAAACUGGCAGUCUCGAGUUGGAGAGAAGUAUGCGGAAUGCGCGGUGUAGCGGUGAAAUGCAUAGAUAUCGCGCAGAACUCCGAUUGCGAAGGCAGCAUGCCGGCUCCACACUGACGCUGAGGCACGAAAGCGUGGGUAGUCGAACAG
rnacentral:rRNA from 1 species